rnacentral:rRNA from 1 species
GACGAACGCUGGCGGCGUGCCUAAUACAUGCAAGUCGAGCGGACCGAACAGGAGCUUGCUCUUGUUCGGUUAGCGGCGGACGGGUGAGUAACACGUGGGUAACCUGCCCGUAAGACCGGGAUAACUCCGGGAAACCGGAGCUAAUACCGGAUAACACCGAAGACCGCAUGGUCUUUGGUUGAAAGGCGGCUUCGGCUGCCACUUACGGAUGGGCCCGCGGCGCAUUAGCUAGUUGUUGAGGUAACGGCUCACCAAGGCGACGAUGCGUAGCCGGCCUGAGAGGGUGACCUGCCACACUGGGACUGAGACACGGCCCAGACUCCUACGGGAGGCAGCAGUAGGGAAUCUUCCGCAAUGGACGAAAGUCUGACGGAGCGACGCCGCGUGAGCGAAGAAGGUCUUCGGAUCGUAAAGCUCUGUUGUUAGGGAAGAAGAAGCGUCGUUCGAACAGGGCGGCGAUGUGACGGUACCUAACAAGAAAGCCCCGGCUAACUACGUG